AAAAACAUACGUGCUCCGAAUUGCUGAACUGCAGCAAAUACUUUCUCCCCAGGAUGGGAUGGAGGCGAAGCAAAUGGAUCUGCCACACACCCUUAGCAUGCGCCAGUGAAAGGAAGAGCCGCGGGGAGAGGCCUAUCACCCGCUCGGGGGCAGUCCUUCCCAGACCCGAGAGGAUGACGUCAGCACAGCCGGGCAACGAUUGAUGGGGCCGCCGGCCAAUCAGCGUCAGCGGGACCUGAGGGCGGCCAGGAGGGGUGGCACCGCGUCACCCCGCCCCCCAACUCUGCAUAACCUGUUUCCACAGCCCCUUCCAUCCACAGAUCCGUGCUGCGUGCCCUCUGGGAAGGGUGAAGUAAAACCCUCAGUCCGAGCCUGAGAAAUCCUGGCAUUUGUAGCCCAGGGCUGCGAGGAAGCCACAGGGCGGUCCGCAGGGCGGUAUCGAGGCUCUGGGACCCAAGGAGGGUCAGGACGUCGUGCACCCCUCGCGCACGCACCUGUCGGGACCGGCCGCCUCCUCCUGCCUACCUGCCCUGCCUCCUUCGCCCCGAAUUUCACCUUAAACCAUGAUAAACCAAGCCCAGUGGAUUCUGAAGCCCGGGACGAUGGCAGGUUCGAGAGAGAAUUGGGCAGCUGGGGGCGGGGCACAAUAUUAUUUAGGCGCCUCCACCCCACCUUCACAGAAAUACAUCUGGAAAGCAUGGGCUGUCCUAGGGCUGGGGACUGGGGGUUACGGUCUCAUCGAUGACUCAGAGGGAGAGAAAACCUCCUGGGUCCCAAGCCAAAAAGAAUAAAAUUCUCCAGAAUAGCCAACAAUCCCAAGAUCUCAGGAUAUUGUUAGAACUCAUCUCCACCUCACACAGCCAGACCAGCCUCAGGUGUCUCCCAGGAAAGACUGCCCCUCAGGCCCUGGGACGGUUCCCAAGCCUGCCAGAAAUGAGGUGGAGGCCAACACUGACCUUUGGAUGGCUGAGUUUUGGAUGACUGACAGCCCCAGAUCCUGCUCCAGGUUCCUUCCUCAGGA
rnacentral:lncRNA from 1 species